AGAAUUGAAGUGAUUGAAUCACUAUUAGUUUCGACCUAAUCUUAGGUAUUUUAAAAUACCCUAUUCUU
rnacentral:tRNA from 1 species